UCUCUCUCUUCCCUCAUUUUCUCUCUCAUCCUGCAAUUCCCCUCUCUUCUACGAUUCAUGUUCACCCAGUUCAUAGCUUUGCACUUCUAACAUUCGCAUCUUCUCUCAUGCAGCAAUUUUUCGUAAAAGAUGCUCGUCAAUUGGGUAUUAACUGGGUGAUCCCUGGUCAUCUAGAGAGAAGACCCUGUCAAAUGCGACAAAUGAUUUUGCUGCAGACAAGAUUGAGUAUUAACAAACCCAAGGCGUGGAAGUAAUUUCUUGCGUAGGUGAGACUUUGGAUCAGCGUGAAGGAGGGACUACAGUGGAGGUAGUUGCAACUCAGACAAAAGCUAUUGCUGCAAGCUAGCAAAUAGCUACUGCCAACAGACCUCAUAAACUAGCAGACCAGAACAUGGCGUCCUAGCUGCUUAGAACAAAGGGGCAUCUGAUCAACACUAAAACUACAUCAGCAAACAAGUGUGUUGUGAGUGUGCGCGUGUGUAUGUUACUUUCAGUGUUCAACAUGCCUGAUGCCUGUAAUACAGUUCUUGUUUCAGAAAGGUUGAGUUUACUAUUUUUAGAUUGUUCGGUGUGUGUGUUCACACAUUUUGGCACCAUAUAAGAAAUUAUACUCAAUGACAUGUCUGCAAACAUUAGAUGUGUAAUUUUAGCUACCAUUCUCAUUGUUCUGGGCUAAUAGAGAGCCUUCCAAAGCUGUGAUAUAUAAAUGGACAUUGUUGGCUGCUGAAUUGCAGGUGACAUGAGUUGACUAUUCUGCUGGUCAAUAUAGGGUGGUUUUGUUAGGUUGCCUUUGUGUCUCUUGUUCCUAUUGCCUUAUUCUGUUGCUGUUAUGUUAUGACAAGUCACAUAUCAAGUCUGUGCUGCUUUUUUGCUGUUUGUUGGUGGUCCGAAGAUGGGAGGUGUUCUGGGAUGUGGUUAGGUUUGAAGACAGGGUGCUCUGUUGGGCUUAUAAGUUGAGUAUUGUUUACUGAUGGUUGUUGUUUUUUGAUAUCCUUUUACUUUUACGAGUUAUUUAUAAAUAUAUGAUUGCAUUCUAAUUAUUCUUA